rnacentral:ribozyme from 1 species
CUACAGACUUUAUUGUAUUGAGCCUUGGUAUGGAAACCUGCUAAAUGGUAACUUCCAAAUUCAGGGAAACCCUGGAAUUAAAAAAGGGAAAUCUUGAGCCAAAACCGUGUUUUGAGAAAACAAGGGGUUCUCGAACUAGAAUACAAAGGAAAAGGAUAGGUGCAGAGACUCAAUGGAAGCUGUUCUAAUGAAUCGAGUUAAUUACAUUGUGUUGUUAGUAAGCCCCCGAGUGGGAGGAUUGCGCUCCACUCGGUAGGAACUUUUAAACUUAGGCGAGUACAGGACUGCAGCUAAGCCCCCGAGUGGAAGGAAUACCCUCCACUCGGUAGGAUUUUUUAAACUUAG